rnacentral:rRNA from 1 species
CGUAGGGGGCGAGCGUUGUCCGGAUUUAUUGGGCGUAAAGAGCUCGUAGGCGGUUCCGUGAGUCGGCUGUGAAAUCUCCACGCUCAACGUGAGGGGUCAGUCGAUACUGCGGUGACUCGAGUCCGGUAGGGGAGUGUGGAAUUCCCGGUGUAGCGGUGCAAUGCGCAGAGAUCGGGAGGAACACCCGUAGCGAAGGCGGCACUCUGGGCCGGUACUGACGCUGAGGAGCGAAAGCGUGGGGAGCAAACAGGAUUAGAUACCCUGGUAGUCCACGCCGUAAACGUUGGGCACUAGGUGUGGGGCGCUAUCGACGCGUUCCGUGCCGUAGCUAACGCAUUAAGUGCCCCGCCUGGGGAGUACGGCCGCAAGGCUA